UGGGGAAUAUUGCACAAUGGACGGAAGUCUGAUGCAGCAACGCCGCGUGCGGGAUGACGGCCUUCGGGUUGUAAACCGCUUUUUCUCAUGACGAAGUUUUUUGACGGUAGUGGGGGAAGAAGCACCGGCUAACUACGUGCCAGCAGCCGCGGUGAUACGUAGGGUGCGAGCGUUGUCCGGAAUUAUUGGGCGUAAAGGGCUUGUAGGUGGCUGGUUGCGUCUGUCGUGAAAGCUCAUGGCUUAACUGUGGGUUUGCGGUGGGUACGGGCUGGCUUGAGUGCAGUAGGGGAGGCUGGAAUUCCUGGUGUAGCGGUGGAAUGCGCAGAUAUCAGGAGGAAUACCGGUGGCGAAGGCGGGUCUCUGGGCUGUUACUGACGCUGAGGAGCGAAAGCGUGGGGAGCGAACAGG
rnacentral:rRNA from 1 species